GUAGUCUCGCACAGAUGCAUAUCAAUAAGCGGAGGAAAAGAAACUAACAAGGAUUCCCCUAGUAACGGCGAGUGAAGCGGGAAGAGCUCAAAUUUGAAAUCUUAAAGGGUUUCCCUUUACGAAUUGUAGUUUAAAGAAGUGUUUUCUGUUGAGGUUUUGGUAAAAGUUCUUUGGAAUAGGACAUCAUAGAGGGUGAGAAUCCCGUAUUUGACCUUUACUUUCAACUUUGUGAUACACUUUCAAAGAGUCGGAUUGUUUGGGAAUGCAGUCCAAAAUGGGUGGUAAAUUUCAUCUAAAGCUAAAUAUUGGCGAGAGACCGAUAGCGAACAAGUACCGUGAGGGAAAGAAUGGAAAAGAACUUUGAAAAGAGAGUUAAACAGUACGUGAAAUUGUCAAAAGGGAAGCGUUUGACACCAGUGUUGUUUUUCUGAAAAUCAAUUAAAGAACUGUUUAUGCUAAGCUGUUUAGACUUUAUCAGCUAAUCUGUUUAGUUUUGAGCUUUUCUUUAAUGCACUUUUCAGUUAACAAGUCAACAUCAAUUUCUUUUGCUGUAAAAAAGCUUGAGGAAGGUGGCUUGAGAUUCGUCUUAAGUGUUUAUAGCCUCUUGCCUAUGCAGUCGGAGAGAUUGAGGUCUGCAGCGUAGAUCCUUCGGGGCUAAAUGCAUUUGUGCUAAGUUAUAGCAUUUUAUAGACAACUUGUUGACUAUGAUUUGUCUUGUAGCUUACUCGCUUAUGUUAUUUUACCUACGCUUAGGAUGUUGAACUACUGAGACAUAGA
rnacentral:rRNA from 1 species